AAAUUGAAGAGUUUGAUCAUGGCUCAGAUUGAACGCUGGCGGCAGGCCUAACACAUGCAAGUCGAACGGUAACAGGAAGCAGCUUGCUGCUCGGCUGACGAGUGGCGGACGGGUGAGUAAUGUCUGGGAAACUGCCUGAUGGAGGGGGAUAACUACUGGAAACGGUGGCUAAUACCGCAUAACGUCGCAAGACCAAAGAGGGGGACCUUCGGGCCUCUUG
rnacentral:rRNA from 1 species